ACAAAACAAUCAACCUGGAUGUUGCAGCUGAUGCUGCGUUGCGACCAUUCACAGCGGGUACUUUCCGAGUAAAAAAGUUUGUUCAGGAGCACGACCUUGCCAACAGAUUACAUGCCCAGAUUUGGCUCCUCAAGACGUAUGCAAUUCCUGCUGGCAUGUAUGCUAGUCAGAUCUGGGCUACCCCUUACCUACGGCAAGGCAAAGAGAUGGCCAAUCCCAUACAGAAGUGGCUAUUAACAGUGCUUAAA
rnacentral:lncRNA from 1 species